UCAUCUAAGUGUCACCCUUGCAGAUGUCUCCUUGUUCUUCCUCGUACUCCCUGUGUUGUCCUGGUUUGUGAUUUCGUAAGGUGAAAUAUGGUGAAAAAGUGCAACAAGUGUCUAAAGUGUCUCCAUCUCUGUUGAUGGACAAAGCCGUCAUAAAGCUGUCGUUGUGUGAAGCUGCAAUACAAUCCUGCCCUUCUUCCCCCGCACAUGAAAGUGUGCUGGGAGCCGGUUUGUGUUUGUUGUCUGAUGAUUUGCUCCCUGACCUUCGACCUCGCUGCCACUGCCACAAGAGGAACAAAAGCUUCAAACAGGAGCAGCAAACACUUACUGCUGCACAGCCAGCACGAGUCCUUUCCCAACUUCUCCCAGAGUACCUGGAGCCACCGAGCAAGACUGCAAAGGUGAAUUUGGUGACAGAGCUUCAACUUCAUAGAACCAUUCAAUAAAAAACCUUACCAUGCUAAACUCAUUUACACCAGAUAUAAAGGCUAUAUGUCAGGUUUUAG